CUUGGUCAUUUAGAGGAAGUAAAAGUCGUAACAAGGUUUCCGUAGGUGAACCUGCGGAAGGAUCAUUAUCGAUUUUUAAAGAUGUGCUGGCACUCCUUCACCGGUUUGCAUGUGCACUCUGCAAAAUCUCCUUCUCUUACCCCACUGUGCACACCCAAGUAGACAAACAGAGUUACAGAGCAAUCUGUGUAAUUCCUGAUUUGCCUAUGUUUUUAUCAAACACCAAUAACAAUCUCAGAAUGAUCUAUAUAGUAAGCUUUUAACAAGCUGAAAUUUAAUACAACUUUCAACAAUGGAUCUCUUGGUUCUCGCAUCGAUGAAGAACGCAGCGAAUUGCGAUAUGUAAUGUGAAUUGCAGAAUUCAGUGAAUCAUCGAAUCUUUGAACGCACCUUGCACCCUCUGGCAUUCCGGAGGGUAUGCCUGUUUGAGUGUCAUUAAUCUCUCAACACAAGAAACUUUGUCUCCUUGUGCUUGGAUAUUGAAGGUUUUGCUGGCGCAAACAACUGUCAGCUCCUUUUAAAUGUAUUAGCAGAGCAGUAUAGGACUGGCCUCGGUUUGAUAAGAAACUUUAUCUAUGCUGUCGCUGGGUUUUCCUCUUUGUGCUCAGCUUCAAAUUGUCUUCGGACUGUCUCUUGAGGCAACAAAAUCUCUAUUGAUCGACCUCAAAUCAGGUAGGACUACCCGCUGAACUUAAGCAUAUCAAUAAGCGGAGGA
rnacentral:rRNA from 1 species